rnacentral:lncRNA from 1 species
UGAUUCUUUAGCACCUAAUACAGAUGCAGAUCCUAGUAUCGAAGAAUCCGCACAUAUUUGGUUAAAUAUAUUUUGUAAACAUAUAUAGGUAGCUUACUGAUGGUUAAAUCACACUUUUCAUCAACCUGACUAUUAGGCUCUAUUUAUGGAGCUAAACCUAUGGAGCACGGACAAGAUUGAGAGGAUAUAUUUCCUUUGACUUGUAUUGAAAAGCUUCUUAUUCACUUUGACAAGUUUGUGAAUAGCCAACACCUAUCUGACAACAGGACAUCCUAAUUAAGUAACAUAAAUUGAUACUAAAUCCAGCCUUUGUCACGAUGAGGACAAUUACGAUGUGAAAGACUUACACAUGCAUGUAUUUAAUGGCAGUGCAGAUAGCAUUCAUUCAAUCCGUGUAAAGCAAACGCGCAGCUGCACAAAAUGUCAGACAUGGCAUCUAGAACAUUGUUUGUCAGGGGUAACGUUAUCACGUGUUGUAGGCAGUAAUCUAACAGUUGACAGACAUUAGUAAAAUUAGCCAUAACGACACUAAUAACACAUGAGAACGAGAAGAAACUUUCAGUGUUGGUACUAAGCAGUUGCAGACAUUGAAACCUCAGUGAAUAUAACAAUGGCAGUAAAGUAUACAACACUCAUAGAAUGGAUAUGAAAACGAAAGACAUACCCUUUUCGUCAUGGGCCAUGAAACAUCAGUAAAACACCAUAACCUACAGCAAACGUGAUGGAGAGAAAAGAGCACAGCACCACGGAAAAAGUAGGUAAACCAGGAAUUCAACGAACCACCGUUCAUCGGCCGCCACAAUCACCAUGCGGCUCCUCCGAAUAUAACAGGUACUGACCAAAGGACUAAUUGCAGUGCAAAUUGGGCAGACGGAUCCUAUAACUAUCGUAGAGAAUGAAACACUUAUGAAUCUUAAGAGAAUUUCAUACAGAAACAGUUUAAAGGAAUGAAAAAUAAAAGAAAAAGGAAAACAUUUUGAUUUGAAUCGUUGUGU